UACGAGUGCGUCAAGCGUUAUCCGGAAUUACUGGGCGUAAAGCGCACGCAGGCGGUCUUUUAAGUUUGACGUGAAAGCUCCCGGCUUAACUGGGAGAGGUCGUUGAAUACUGGAAGACUUGAGGAAAUGAGAGGGGUGUAGAAUUCCUGGUGUAGUGGUGGAAUGCGUAGAUAUCAGGAGGAAUACCAGUGGCGAAAGCGGCACCCUAGCAUUUUUCUGACGCUCAUGUGCGAAAGCGUGGGGAGCGAACGGG
rnacentral:rRNA from 1 species